UUCAAUUCUUGGUAGUCAAUACAAAGUCGCAUGCUCCCGUCUUUCUUCUAUAAAAAUAAAACAGGAGCACCCCAAGGAGAUGUACUAGGACGAAUGAAACCGAUGUCUAAUAAUUCCUAUAGUUGGACUUUUAACUCCUAAAGUUCAAUAGGAGCCAUUCAAUAUGGGGUUUUAGAAAUGGGCUUUGUACCCAGUUAAGAUCAAUAAAGAAUUCAACUUCACGUUCUGGGGGUAGACCAGGAAGUUCUUCAGGAAAUUCACUAACAACAGAAAUAUUAUUCAAAACUGACGUGUUUUUGUUCAAGUCCAUAAUAUGGGCUAAGAAAGCUUGACAUCCGUUUUUCAAUAAACGAAUAGCUUUAUGGCUUGAUAUGAUAGUGACUGAUUUUAGUGGUUUAGUUGCUUGAAUUCGUACAACAGGUUGGUUAGGAAUAUGAAAACUAACAACCUUACGAAAAUAAUCAAUUAUGGCAUGAUGAGUAGUUAACCAAUCAAUUCCUAAAAUCACAUCAAAUGCAAGUAUCUUUAAAGAGAUAAGAUCAACAGGUAAUGUGAU
rnacentral:lncRNA from 1 species